AACGUAGGACGCGAGCGUUAUCCGGAGUUACUGGGCGUAAAGCGCGCGCAGGCGGUCUGACAAGUCUGAUGUGAAAUCUCCGGGCUUAACCGGGAGAGGCCAUUGGAAACUGACAGGCUGGAGGGCAGUAGAGGUAGGCGGAAUUCCGGGUGGAGUGGUGAAAUGCGUAGAGAUCCGGAGGAACACCAGAGGCGAAGGCGGCCUACUGGGCUGCACCUGACGCUGAGGCGCGAAAGCCAGGGGAGCGAACGGG
rnacentral:rRNA from 1 species